UACGGGGGGGGCAAGCGUUGUUCGGAAUUACUGGGCGUAAAGGGCUCGUAGGCGGCCAACUAAGUCAGACGUGAAAUCCCUCGGCUUAACCGGGGAACUGCGUCUGAUACUGGAUGGCUUGAGUUCGGGAGAGGGAUGCGGAAUUCCAGGUGUAGCGGUGAAAUGCGUAGAUAUCUGGAGGAACACCGGUGGCGAAGGCGGCAUCCUGGACCGAUACUGACGCUGAGGAGCGAAAGCAUGGGGAGCGAACAGGG
rnacentral:rRNA from 1 species